UUUAAGUGCGGUCGUGGGUUUCUGUCUGCAAUGUUUGACCGUCCGUCUUAUUUAAUUUUUUUUUAUAAUUUGUAUUUUUAUUGUUAGUAGAUGAUAAAACAAGAAUAGCACUUUAUUCAUAACUUUUUUAAAAAAAUUAUGAUUUUUCAAAUAAAACGAACGAUCAAAUGUUGAACAUAGAAACCCAUGACUAUACUUAAC
rfam:Oryza glaberrima chromosome 1 Oglab01_0032_1, whole genome shotgun sequence.